rnacentral:rRNA from 1 species
UACGAAGGGGGCUAGCGUUGCUCGGAAUGACUGGGCGUAAAGGGCGCGUAGGCGGCUCAUACAGUCAGGCGUGAAAUUCCUGGGCUCGAACCUGGGACUGGCGCUUGAGACGUGUGGGCUUGAGUGGGGAAGAGGGUCGUGGAAUUCCCAGUGUAGAGGUGAAAUUCGUAGAUAUUGGGAAGAACACCGGUGGCGAAGGCGGCGACCUGGUCCUUGACUGACGCUGAGGCGCGAAAGCGUGGGGAGCAAACAGG